rnacentral:rRNA from 1 species
AUGCUGCAGACACGGCCUGCGAUCUUUAAUCCCAUACUGUGUGGAGCACGCCUCUUGCAGCAAUGGGCCGUCGACAUGUACGUCAAGAUUGAAAGUUGUCGGUUAAGGUGGUACAGGAAGAACCAGACGCAGAUUUGUGUCGACUUGUAUAAAGGAGUUGUUGAUGCGAUCACACCGGGGGAGACACGAGCAAGCGUUGUUGGGGUAAGAAUAGUUCUCCCUGGAACAUACCCUGGUGGCGACCGCGACAUGAAGAAGAGGCAUAUGGAUGCCAUGGCAAUUGUACAUACAUACGGGAAGCCUGACAUCUUCUUGACCAUGACUUGCAAUCCAAAAUGGGAAGAGAUAACGAAUGAGUUGCUGCCUGGUCAGACGGCGCAAGACCGACCUGAUAUUGUGGCUCGCGUGUUCUUUGGCAAACUAGAGGCUAUGAAGGACAUGUUGUUCAAGAAGCACAUCCUGGGUGUUGUUGUCGCAUAUGUAUAUGUUGUCGAGUUUCAAAAAAGGGGCCUCCCACACGCACAUUUUCUGUUGAUCAUGGACUCAACAUAUAAGCUUAUCAUCCCCGAGCAGUAUGACCGACUCAUUUCCGCAGAGCUCCCAGACAAGCAUAAGUAUCUGGAAUUGUAUGCAAUGGUAGUAAAACAUAUGAUGCACGGACCAUGCGGUGCUCUAAACCCGAAGAAUGUUUGCAUGCAAGAAAACGGAUGCAAGUGCAGAUACCCGCGGUCGUUCAAUGAAAACACAGCACAGGGGAAGGACUCGUACCCAGUUUAUCGACGUAGAGACGAUGGUAGGCAUGCUAAGGUCCGAGGGAAGAUGUUGGACAACAGAUGGGUUGUGCCUUAUAACCCAUACCUUCUGCGGAUGUUCAAUUGCCACAUCAACGUUGAGGUCUCCUCGAGCAUAAAGGCCGUCAAAUAUCUUUACAAGUACAUUUACAAGGGCCAUGAUAAGGCUUCUUUCAGCAUCGACCAGCCCGACGCCGAUGGUAACAUUGAUGAGAUCAAGAGAUACGUUGACGCAAGGUGGAUCACCCCUCCGGAGGCUAUGUGGAGGAUAUUUGGCUUUCCACUUUGCGCCAACUACCCUCCUGUCUUGCAGUUGCCUCUUCAUCUCCCGAAUAUGCACAGGGUCGCAUUCAAUGCCCAGGCUGACUUGAAAAAUGUUGUCGCCUCAGAAAAUAUUUCAAAAUCCAUGUUAACGGAGUAUUUCAAGGCUAACCAGGAACACCCUCGGGCUAGAAAUAUAUUGUACAAGGAUUUUCCCGGAAGCUUCACGUGGCAGAAGAAAAAGAAGUUUUGGAAGCCGCGGGUCGAGCGUUUUCAAAUAGGUCGCAUCGUGUCUGCCAAUCCUGCCGAGGGGGACCGAUACUAUAUGCGUGUGUUGCUAAACCAUGUUACGGGCAAAACAUCCUUUGACGACUUGCUCACCGUGGACGGCGUGCUAUGUGGGAGCUUUAGAGAGGCUGCUGAAAGGUUGGGACUCAUCGAGGCAGACAACACGCUCGAUGACUGUCUUACUGAGGCUGAGCAGUGGGCGAUGCCAUGUUCUCUUAGGAGGCUCUUCGCAACCAUCUUGGUGCACUGCGAGCCAGGCGACGUGCGUGGUUUAUGGGAUAGGCACCUCGAGCCUAUGUCAGAUGACUAUCGUCGAUCACGCACGUCCCCUGACGAGGUGGAGCAGAUGGUGUUGCUAGACAUUAGGGGUAUGUUGCAGUCCAUGGGUAAAGAUAUUGUUGAUUUCACUCUUCCGAGCAUAGAUGAUGCGUUUGACCCAACCGAGGGCGAGGCAAGAGAGGUCAUCGAGGAAACAACCGUUGAGUUUGACAUGGAUGACACUAAGUUGGUAUCUUCGCUGAACUUGGAGCAAAGGGCCGCAUACGACGAGAUACUAACGGCUGUUGAACGCGGUGAUGGGAGUGUAUUCUUUGUUGAUGGCCCUGGAGGUACAUGGAAGACCUUCCUAUACAGGGCGAUGCUUGCCAAGGUGAGGAGCCAAGGCAAGAUUGGUAUCGCUACCGCGACGUCGGGCGUCGCCGCUUCUAUCAUGCCUGGCGGCAGGACUGCCCACUCGAGGUUCAAGAUCCCAUUGAGUUGCGAUGAUGGAGCCUCGUGCAGCUUCACCAAGCAGAGUGGGACCGCCAAGCUCCUAAGGAUGGCCUCAUUGAUAAUAUGGGACGAGGCCAGCAUGACGAAGCGACAAGCGGUAGAGGCAUUGGACAACAGCAUGCGCGACAUCAUGGGAAUACGUGACCGACCCUUUGGAGGAAAGACUGUUGUUUUUGGUGGGGACUUUCGGCAGGUGCUUCCGGUCGUCAGAAGGGGGUCGCGGGGCCAGAUAAUUGAUGCAACCCUCCGAAGUUCUCAUCUGUGGAAGUGUAUGCGGCAGCUUCGGCUCAUAAUGACACGUGGUUUGCAGAUUACUUGCUAA